rnacentral:rRNA from 1 species
UACAGAGGAGCCAAGCGUUGUCCGGAUUGACUGGGCGUAAAGGGUGCGUAGGCGGGUCUUUAAGUCAGGGGUGAAAUCCUGGAGCUCAACUCCAGAACUGCCUUUGAUACUGAGGAUCUUGAGUCCGGGAGAGGUGAGUGGAACUGCGAGUGUAGAGGUGAAAUUCGUAGAUAUUCGCAAGAACACCAGUGGCGAAGGCGGCUCACUGGCCCGGUACUGACGCUGAGGCACGAAAGCGUGGGGAGCAAACAGG